AUUGAACGCUGGCGGCAGGCCUAACACAUGCAAGUCGAACGAGUGGCGGACGGGUGAGUAAUGUCUGGGAAACUGCCUGAUGGAGGGGGCUAACUACUGGAAACGGUAGCUAAUCCCGCAUACCAUCGGAUGUGCCCAGAUGGGAUUAGCUAGUCGGUGGGGUAACGGAUCACCUAGGCGACGAUCCCUAGCUGGUCUGAGAGGAUGACCAGCCACACGGGAACGGAGACACGGUCCAGACUCCUACGUGAGGCAGCAGUGGGGAAUAUUGCACAAUGGGCGCAAGCCUGAAGCAGCCAUGCGGGGUGUAUGAAGAAGGCCUUCGGGUUGUAAAGUACGUUCAGCGGGGAGGCGGUACCCGCAGAAGAAGCACCGGCUAACUCCGUGCCAGCCGCCGCGGUAAUAC
rnacentral:rRNA from 1 species